CGGCUUUCCAACUCCAUUUCAUGAAAUUUCAAAUUUUGUGGGAAUUUCAAUUUUUAAAAAUUUGCUGGAGGCUCCAGAACUGCUCAAAACGGUUUGAAACCGUUUUCAAUCGAUUUGGCAUGUCAAAAAUAGGGUAUAUCUCAAAUUUCAGUUUUCUAGGUUAAUUUGGUAAAAUUUUGAUUUUUUCCCCACACUUUGGUCAAAAUUUGAUUUUUGAAAAUUCACCAAAAAUCGAAACAGUCACUCUAGCACUAUGGGAAUGUUACAGAUUUGAAACUAAAUAAAUUUAUCGAAUCACGAAGAGUCGCACUUUAGAGUUGCCGACUCAUAAAAUCCAGCAGUCGCGCUAAUGAGUCGCGGACUUGAAAUCAAAGAGUCGCCCCAGCUCUGUAGUCUGCAUUUAUGUAAACGUAAAGUAAAGUGCCCGAAUGUGGUUGAAUUUUCUGUUUUAAAAUAAAAAAAAUCAAUAGGUAAUAUUCUAAUAUACUUCAGUCUUCAGAGUAGAAAGACUGACUACUGAGCAAAUUUCGCAAGUUGAACACUCAAUUUUCUAAAAACAUAUCAAAUUUGAAACUCGCGAGCGAAAUCACUCUCUUCCCUCCAAAAAACAUAUAAAGGUAGGUAAACCAAAGUACCUAGCACAAAUUUGUACCUAUUAUCAAUACUGCAGAGAUAAUAUAUUCUAUUACGCUCAACUUACACUAGCUAGUACUAUUUUUUAUAUUACGAUUAGAUAAAUCUCCGUAGUAACCUACUUGUUAAUGGACAUUUUUUUUUUGCAUAAUUAGACAAAUAUGAUUUGGUUUAGUUAUCAGUUCUCUGAGUCAUAUUCUAAAAUUAAAAAUGAUUGGAAGAACACUGAUGAAUUUAAUUAACUUUCCAAGAGCUCAUAUGAUUAGGUCUGAGUCAAUUCAAAAUUACCUACAACAGUUCUUCCUUAUCUUCAAAGUCAUAUCUACUCUACCUAUCACAAAAAUCUGAUUCGUAGAAAGAAACGGAAGAGGGAGUUAAACUGAUGAUAAUUGGAUGAAAGCUUAUUCACUCCCUAGGUAUUCAAUCAUUCCCAUAAAUUCAAUAUUUCUGCAUUCGUUGGCCUUAUUUGUGAUUUUAUUUCUGUGCAAAAAAUGCGCUGACUUUGCGAUUCGGAACAUUGAAUUUAAAAUACACACUAUACGAGUACGUAGCUGUGAAAGAAGAUGUGUCGUUAUUCAGACAUAUUUGUGUUUAUAGUCGAUCUCAUUAUUUUCAUAAUUGCUAUGAUUAUUUUAUUAGCCAUAGGCCGAUGUUGUUGUUGUAUCGGUCGUGGCAGAGCAAAACCAAAAACUAAAAAAAAGUUCAGAGUUGAUCAUCAUUCCAGCAGCAAUCACGACACCGACAGUAGCAGCCCUCCUGGUUAUAAUAGCCUUAUCCUUAAUAAUGCUGACAACAAUCAACACGAUUUCAGCAGCCAAUGCCAUCAUGACAAUAGUGAAAAAGCGAAUUGUGGAAAAGGUGGCGGAGAUGAUGAAGGUACUCGUAGAUGUGAUCAGGAUGGAUGUGAUAGUGAUGAAGGUGCCUGUGAUAGUACUGCAGAUAGUAGUGGAGAUGAAAAUGUUAGAGUAAGAGGUAAAGGCGGAUAUGAUGUGAUAGAGGUGGAGGCGGAUGUGAAUGUGAUGUGAUAUUAGUGGAGGAAAAUGUAAUUUGAUCGUGCUGGGGGUGGAUAUGACUAAUUUUCUACCAUAAAGAUCUCGUAUUUCUAUUUUAGAAGUAUUUUGCGAUGUUGCGAUGUAUGAAGUUGAAUUUUGAUGCGUUUGUCGUUUUUGAAAAUUUAUUCUCUGAUCAUAAUUUGUUAUGAGAUUACGAGGCGUUUUUUCAAAUCUUAAGUAGGUACCUAUACGAAAUUAUUCAGCAUAAAACACACCCAAAGUCUACAUAUUUUUUUGCCAAAAUUGUCAGUAGAUAGGUGUCAUUUUUUUCUGAAUUGUCCAUCAAGAAGUUGUAAUGUUUGUCAAAAAUCGUAAAAAAAUCUUGUUUUUUGCCUUUUUUUGUCUGUCAAAAGGUUCCAGUUUUUUUUUUCAAUCAAAAUUGUCAAAAAUGUCUUAAUUUUAAUUGCCAAAAAUUCCUACAUUUUGCCUAAAUUUCUUCCAAAAACUCAUAUUAUUCUUUUCCAUAGUUCUGCUAUUUUUUUCCAAAAUAUUGCCGAAAAAUGUUCGGUUUUUUAUCAAAGUUUUUAAAAAGUUCCAUUUUUUCUAAAAUUGUCAAAAAAAAAUAAUUUACCUAUGCCUAAGUUUUAUGAUUUUUUUCUUAGCUGUCCAACAAGUUUUAUUUCAUCCAAAAUGGCGAAUUAGAAAUCUUGUUUUUUGCAAAAAGUACCUACCAAAGAGGUCUUCUUUUUUGGUCAAAUUGAUUUUUAAAAUGUCCUUGCCAAAAAUUAAUGAUAAAGUAUCUUUGGAAAGCAUUGUGAGCCAAAAAAAUGUUUGGCUUGAAUACUUCAAUUUAAACCCUCCUUUUUCCCAAAUCAAAACAUUUGAAAAAAAAAUGGCCUACUAGAGCAUGUUGUCUUAUUUGUUAAACACUUUGAAAACAGUUUUCAAUUGCUAGAAGGUAGAAGUCAUCUCUUAUAAUUGUACCUUAAGUAGUAGGUAUGAGUUCAUCACGCCUACUUCAAGGUUCCGAUGAUCAUCCAGAGAACCAAGGAAAUAUUUUGGAGAAGAAUGUUUACGUCGAACAAUUUGAUGAUGGCGACCAUAAUUCGAACGACGCCAUCGACAACUGGAAGAAUCCACUAUUCGAAAGUUUUGUAUUGGUCAAGUACAUACAUUUCGAAGGGUACGUGGUAGUGGAAAAAUAUUCAAAAUUCAAGAAAGACCUUCAGAGAGAGAGAAAAACGAUACUGUAGCUUUGGAGCUCUCGAUUAGUAUUCUUUUCUUGUGACAUUUCACAAUAUCAGAUUGAUCAUCGAUUACGUUGAAGACUUGAUUACUUACACGAUUUGAACCCGAACCAGUUUCAGAUAAACACGAUGCAUUUUAUGUUGCAGAAAUUAGCUAUUUGUUAUCUUCGAAUAUAUUUUUUGUUAAUUUUCA